AUUGAACGCUGGCGGCGGGCCUAAUACAUGCAAGUCGAGCGGAGCGACGGACGGGUGAGUAAUGCCUAGGAAGCUGACUGGUAGUGGGGGAUAGCGUCCGGAAAGGGGAGCUUAUACCGCAUCCUAUCAGAUGAGCCUAGGUCGGAUUAGCUAGUUGGUGGGGUAAAGGCCUACCAAGGAGACGAUCCGUAACUGGUCUGAGAGGAUGAUCAGUCACACUGGAACUGAGACACGGUCCAGACUCCUACGGGAGGCAGCAGUGGGGAAUAUUGGACAAUGGGCGAAAGCCUGAUCCAGCCAUGCCGCGUGUGUGAAGAAGGUCUUCGGAUUGUAAAGCACUUUAAGUUGGGAGGCGUUACCAACAGAAUAAGCACCGGCUAACUUCGUGCCAGCAGCCGCGGUAAUUC
rnacentral:rRNA from 1 species